rnacentral:rRNA from 1 species
GAGAUAACUCCUACGGGAGGCAGCAGUGGGGAAUUUUGGACAAUGGGAGCAACCCUGAUCCAGCAAUGCCGCGUGAGUGAAGAAGGCCUUCGGGUUGUAAAGCUCUUUUGUCAGGGAAGAAACGGUAGUAGCUAAUAUCUAUUACUAAUGACGGUACCUGAAGAAUAAGCACCGGCAACUACGUGCCAGCAGCCGCGGUAAUACGUAGGGCGCAAGCGUUAAUCGGAAUUACUGGGCGUAAAGCGUGCGCAGGCGGUUGUGUAAGUCAGAUGUGAAAUCCCCGGGCUCAACCUGGGAAUUGCAUUUUAGACUGCACGGCUAGAGUGUGUAAGAGGGGAGUAGAAUUCCAAGUGUAGCAGUGCAAUGCGUAGAUAUGUGGAGGAAUACCGAUGGCGAAGGCAGCCCACUGGGAUAACACUGACGCUCAUGCACGAAAGCGUGGGGAGCAAACAGGAUUAGAAACCCUUGUAGUCCUCCACU